CGUGGAUAACCUGCCCCCAAGAUCGGGAUAACCUGGCGAAAGCCGGGCUAAUACCGAAUGUGGUCAUCCCGCGCAUGCGGGAUUAUCCAAAGUCGGGGACCGCAAGGCCUGACACUUAGGGAUGGGUCCGCGUCCUAUCAGCUUGUUGGUGGGGUAACGGCUCACCAAGGCUUACGGGUAGCUGGUCUGAGAGGAUGGUCAGCCGCACUGGGACUGAGACACUGCCCAGACUCCUACGGGAGGCUGCAGUCGAGAAUCUUUCGCAAUGGGCGCAAGCCUGACGAAGCGACGCCGCGUGCAGGAUGAAGGCCUUCGGGUUGUAAACUGCUGUCUUCCGGGAGCAAGGGACCGCCGUGAAUAACGGCGGAACUCGAUAGUACCGGAGGAGGAAGCCACGGCUAACUCUGUGCCAGCAGCCGCGGUAAUACAGAGGUGGCGAGCGUUGUUCGGAUUUACUGGGCGUAAAGGGUGCGUAGGCGGUUCCGUAUGUCAAAUGUGAAAUCCCACGGAUCAUCUGUGGAACGGCAUUUGAAACUGCGGGGCUUGAGGGUGGGAGAGGAAGGUGGAAUUCUCGGUGUAGCGGUGAAAUGCGUUGAUAUCGAGAGGAACGCCGGGAGCGAAGGCGACCUUCUGGAACACUUCUGACGCUGAGGCACGAAAGCUGGGGGAGCAAACAGGAUUAGAUACCCUGGUAGUCCCAGCCGUAAACGGUGUGAACUUGAUGUGGGAGGAAUUAUCCCCUUCCGUGUCGGAGCUAACGCGAUAAGUUCACCGCCUGGGGAGUACGGUCGCAAGAUUAAAACUCAAAGGAAUUGACGGGGGCCCGCACAAGCGGUGGAGCAUGUGGCUUAAUUCGAUGCGACGCGAAGAACCUUACCUGGGUUUGACAUGCUGGUUGUAGAAGCCUGAAGGGGUGACGACCCCGCAAGGGGAGCCAGCACAGGUGCUGCAUGGCUGUCGUCAGCUCGUGCCGUGAGGUGUUAGGUUAAGUCCUGCAACGAGCGCAACCCCUGUGGCUAGUUGCUCGCGCGCAAGCGCAGAAUUCUGGUCAGACUGCCUGUGAUAAGCAGGAGGAAGGUGGGGAUGACGUCAAGUCAGUAUGGUCCUUAUAUCCAGGGCUGCACACGUGCUACAAUGAUCAGUACAGAGGGACGCUAGACCGCGAGGUGGAGCAAAUCCCUGAAAACUGAUCCCAGUUCAGAUUGGAGUCUGCAACUCGACUCCAUGAAGCCGGAAUCGCUAGUAAUGGCGCAUCAGCUACGGCGCCGUGAAUACGUUCCCGGGCCUUGUACACACCGCCCGUCACAUCCUGAAAGCCGGUCGCACCCAAAGUGGCCUCACGGUCCCCAAGGUGUGGUUGGUGAUUGGGAUGAAGUCGAAACAAGGUAGCCGUAGGGGAACCUGCG
rnacentral:rRNA from 1 species